GACAGAGGGUGCAAACGUUGCUCGGAAUUACUGGGCGUAAAGCGUGUGUAGGCUGACCUUCAAGUCGGACGUGAAAUCCCUGAGCUCAACUCAGGAACUGCAUCCGAAACUGAAGGCCUAGAGUAGUGGAGAGGGAAGCAGAAUUCCUGGUGUAGAGGUGAAAUUCGUAGAUAUCAGGAGGAACACCGGUGGCGAAGGCGGCUUCCUGGCCAUUCACUGACGCUGAGACG
rnacentral:rRNA from 1 species